GGAAAGCGAGACUUGUAUAAUGGGGAGCCAGGAGAGCUCUAGCCAAAUAUUUCUACCUGGCAAGGGCUGAAUGAUUGGAAAACAUGGAGGCCCUUUGGGCCAGCUCAUGGUGAUGCUAUGGGGGAAUAAACUGAUAAUGGAGGCCCCAGGAGCAGUAGGAGAAAAGAACAUUCCACCCAGAGUCCCUACGUCCAGUUGCAGCUGGGAUUUGGAUGGUAGGAUUCAUUACCCUGCGAGAAUGCCUCCUAAAAAGAAUUCCCUGGUGGACAGCCGAGAGCUUGUUGACUGCCCUGUGGUAUGUGAGCAAUUUGGAUCAAGUGUUAAAACCCAAGGCUGAGACAGACGGACGAACAGACAUCUGGCUCUUGCGAACAGUGCUAUUGACACAGCACAGUGACCCUGCUCCUUCUGCCAGGUCUUUCUUUCACACAAGGCCAUUUGUUUUCCUCUCAGUCCCCAUGGUGGUAUGGCUUUUUAUUGCAGAAUUAGCAGGCCAAGGUUACAGCUGUGUUGGCUUUCCAGGAGGAAUCAGCAGCCAAAUGAGGAAAAGUAAUCCUUGGAGUUGCAGCUGUCUCACAGUCAACUGAAGUGAGGAGCCCGAGAAGAAUAAGCAAGUGAGUGGGUGCAGAGAGGAGAAAAAUCAGAUUUGACUCUCUCGUGCCCCAAACACUCCCUACCUUUGCUUCCUUCCUCCAGCCUGGCAGCAAACACCAUCACUUAGUGAAGCAUCUGUCUUCUUCCAGGGAAAGGAAAACAUGUUUUCCCAGUAAAUAUUUAGAGAGUGUUUCCUGCUUGCAGAACCACUGAGGAUGGGUGUUUGUAUGUAGUUCUGUCUCCUGUGGUCAACGAGGCAACCCCCCCCCCCCAAUUUUUAAACUGAAUGGCUUAUGUGUGUGAAGGAAGCCCCAAAAGUUGACAGAUGCCUGGCCGGCUCCCAUAUUGGUGAUGCCAAUAGCUUAAGCCUGGGAAUCGUUGUGUUCCAAGGAGUGAUUCAGAAGCCACAGAAGAACCUCUCUAAUGUAUGAGUAUGAAAAAAAAAAUGAUGAACUUCCCUGAUGAGGCAGAUUAACUUUGUGUAAUUCAAAUCAACUACUAUUUCUUAAUUUAAUUCAGCUUAAUUUAAUAAGCAUUUAUUAAACAUUUAGUAAUGACUAGUGAGAACAUUCUUGUUGUGCAACCAUUUAUGCCAGAUUGCUAGUGACCUGGUAGACUAUAUCAUACCAAUUCUGUCCAUGGUGUGUCCUUGGCAUUGGUUUUGGAGUUGUCUUCCAUUUCCUGUUCCAGUGAAUUAAAGCAAAUGGAGGUUUAUGUGACUUGAAAAGGGUUACACAACUAAUAAAUGUCUGAAGUUGGAUCUGAACUCA
rnacentral:lncRNA from 1 species